GACGAACGCUGGCGGCGUGCUUAACACAUGCAAGUCGAACGAAGUGGCGAACGGGUGAGUAACGCGUAAUCAACCUGCCCUUCAGAGGGGGACAACAGUUGGAAACGACUGCUAAUACCGCAUACUGAAGUAGGGGAUUGCGUCGGAUUAGCGAGUUGGAGGGGUAACGGCCCACCAAGGCUAUGAUCAGUAGCCGGUUCGAGAGGAUGAACGGCACAAUUGGGACCGGGCACCGGCCCAGCCUCCUACGGGAGGCAGCAGUGGGGAAUCUUCCGCAAUGGACGAAAGUCUGACGGAGCAACGCCGCGUGAGUGAUGACGGCCUUCGGGUUGGAAAGCUCUGUUAAGCGGGACGCGGUACCGGAAUAGAAAGCCACGGCUAACUACGUGCCAGCAGCCGCGGUAAUAC
rnacentral:rRNA from 1 species